CAAGAUCUUUUUCUCCAGUGGGGACUGUUGACCUGCAGCAACCCUAGGGUCUUUCGAUGUUAGCCCAGGCCAAU
rnacentral:lncRNA from 1 species